rnacentral:rRNA from 1 species
UACGUAGGGUGCGAGCGUUAAUCGGAUUUACUGGGCGUAAAGGGCGCGUAGGCGGCCACCGCAAGUCGACUGUGAAAUCUCCGGGCUUAACCCGGAAAGGUCAGCCGAUACUGCGGGGCUAGAGUGCAGAAGGGGCAACUGGAAUUCUCGGUGUAGCGGUGAAAUGCGUAGAUAUCGAGAGGAACACCUGCGGCGAAGGCGGGUUGCUGGGCUGACACUGACGCUGAUGCGCGAAAGCGUGGGGAGCGAUCCGG